rnacentral:rRNA from 1 species
GAUGAACGCUAGCGGCAGGCUUAACACAUGCAAGUCGAGGGGUAUAGGUUUUCGGACCUAGAGACCGGCGCACGGGUGCGUAACGCGUAUGCAAUCUACCUUUCACAGAGGGAUAGCCCAGAGAAAUUUGGAUUAAUACCUCAUAGUAUUAUAGAAUGGCAUCAUUUUAUAAUUAAAGUCACAACGGUGAAAGAUGAGCAUGCGUCCCAUUAGCUAGUUGGUAUGGUAACGGCAUACCAAGGCAACGAUGGGUAGGGGUCCUGAGAGGGAGAUCCCCCACACUGGUACUGGGACACGGACCAGACUCCUACGGGAGGCAGCAGUGAGGAAUAUUGGUCAAUGGGCGCAAGCCUGAACCAGCCAUGCCGCGUGCAGGAUGACGGUCCUAUGGAUUGUAAACUGCUUUUGCACAGGAAGAAACAACGCUACGUGUAGCGUCUUGACGGUACUGUGAGAAUAAGGAUCGGCUAACUCCGUGCCAGCACGG